AAUGAACGCUGGCGGCAGGCCUAACACAUGCAAGUCGAACGGAUCCUUCGGGAUUAGUGGCGGACGGGUGAGUAACGCGUGGGAACAUACCCACAGGUACGGAAUAGCCUCGGGAAACUGGGAGUAAUACCGUAUGUGCUCGAAAGAGGAAAGAGUUAUCGCCUUUGGAUUGGCCCGCGUUGGAUUAGGUAGUUGGUGGGGUAAUGGCCUACCAAGCCGACGAUCCAUAGCUGGUUUGGGAGGAUGAUCAGCCACACUGGGACUGAGACACGGCCCAGACUCCUUCGGGAGGCAGCAGUGGGGAAUCUUAGACAAUGUGAGAAACCCUGAUCUAGCCAUGCCGCGUGAUCGAUGAAGGCCUUAGGGUUGUAAAGAGCUUUCAGGUGGGUAGAUAAUGACUGUACCACCAGAAGAAGCCCCGGCUAACUCCGUGCCAGCCGCCGCCGUAA
rnacentral:rRNA from 1 species